UACGUAGGGUGCGAGCGUUGUCCGGAAUUACUGGGCGUAAAGAGCUCGUAGGUGGUUUGUCGCGUUGUUCGUGAAAACUCACAGCUCAACUGUGGGCGUGCGGGCGAUACGGGCAGACUGGAGUACUGCAGGGGAGACUGGAAUUCCUGGUGUAGCGGUGGAAUGCGCAGAUAUCAGGAGGAACACCGGUGGCGAAGGCGGGUCUCUGGGCAGUAACUGACGCUGAGGAACGAAAGCGUGGGGAGCGAACAGG
rnacentral:rRNA from 1 species